UGGCGGACGGGUGAGUAACGCGUGGGUAACCUGCCUCAUACAGGGGGAUAACAGUUAGAAAUGACUGCUAAUACCGCAUAAGACCACAGCACCGCAUGGUGCAGGGGUAAAAACUCCGGUGGUAUGAGAUGGACCCGCGUCUGAUUAGGUAGUUGGUGGGGUAACGGCCUACCAAGCCGACGAUCAGUAGCCGACCUGAGAGGGUGACCGGCCACGUUGGGACUGAGACACGGCCCAA
rnacentral:rRNA from 1 species